rnacentral:rRNA from 1 species
UCCAGAGAAGCCAGCGGAGACGCAGGUGUGCCUUCGGGAACUCUGAGACAGGUGCUGCAUGGCUGUCGUCAGCUCGUGUUGUGAAAUGUUGGGUUAAGUCCCGCAACGAGCGCAACCCUUAUCCUUGUUUGCCAGCGAGUAAUGUCGGGAACUCCAGGGAGACUGCCGGUGAUAAACCGGAGGAAGGUGGGGACGACGUCAAGUCAUCAUGGCCCUUACGAGUAGGGCUACACACGUGCUACAAUGGCGCAUACAGAGGGCAGCAAG